rnacentral:rRNA from 1 species
GCUUUGAAGUGUGGACGCCAGUCUGCAUGGAGCCGGCCUUGAAAUACCACCCUUUAAUGUUUGAUGUUCUAACGUGGACCCGUGAUCCGGGUUGCGGACAGUGUCUGGUGGGUAGUUUGACUGGGGCGGUCUCCUCCUAAAGAGUAACGGAGGAGCACGAAGGUUGGCUAAUCCUGGUCGGACAUCAGGAGGUUAGUGCAAUGGCAUAAGCCAGCUUGACUGCGAGCGUGACGGCGCGAGCAGGUGCGAAAGCAGGUCAUAGUGAUCCGGUGGUUCUGAAUGGAAGGGCCAUCGCUCAACGGAUAAAAGGUACUCCGGGGAUAACAGGCUGAUACCGCCCAAGAGUUCAUAUCGACGGCGGUGUUUGGCACCUCGAUGUCGGCUCAUCACAUCCUGGGGCUGAAGUAGGUCCCAAGGGUAUGGCUGUUCGCCAUUUAAAGUGGUACGCGAGCUGGGUUUAGAACGUCGUGAGACAGUUCGGUCCCUAUCUGCCGUGGGCGCUGGAGAACUGAGGGGGGCUGCUCCUAGUACGAGAGGACCGGAGUGGACGCAUCACUGGUGUUCGGGUUGUCAUGCCAAUGGCACUGCCCGGUAGCUAAAUGCGGAAGAGAUAAGUGCUGAAAGCAUCUAAGCACGAAACUUGCCCCGAGAUGAGUUCUCCCUGACCCUUUAAGGGUCCUGAAGGAACGUUGAAGACGACGACGUUGAUAGGCCGGGUGUGUAAGCGCAGCGAUGCGUUGAGCUAACCGGUACUAAUGAACCGUGAGGCUUAACCUU